AAGAAAGUAUGCAAGAGCUGCUAACUCAUGCCACCGUGCUUAGGCGCACGGCUUUCUUA
rnacentral:tRNA from 1 species